GACGAACGCUGGCGGCAUGCCUAACACAUGCAAGUCGAACGAUACCUUCGGGUCUAAUCGCGCACGGGUGCGUAAGGAGUGGGAAAGUGGCUGUCGGGUCGGAAUAACGCAGAGAACUUUGAGCUAAUACCGGGAGAGGUCUUCGGAACAAAGAUUUAUCGCCUUUAGAUGGGCCCGCGUUGGAUUAGCUAGUUGGUGGGGUAAUGGCCUACCAAGGCGACGAUCCAUAGCUGGUCUGAGAGGAUGAUCAGCCACACUGGAACUGAGACACGGCCCAGACUCCUACGGGAGGCAGCAGUGGGGAAUAUUGCACAAUGGGCGAAAGCCUGAUCCAGCAAUGCCGCGUGAGUGAUGAAGGCCUUAGGGUUGUAAAGCUCUUUUACCCGAGAUGAUAAUGACAGUAUCUGGAGAAUAAGCUCCGGCUAACUCCGUG
rnacentral:rRNA from 1 species